GUGAAUCAUCAAAUUUUUGAACGCAAAUUGCACUCUCCGGUUUUCCGGGAGAGUAUGCCUGUUUGCGGGUCAGCCUAAAAAAAAAAUCGACAUUGUUGCUGUUAUUUAAUGGUUACUUUCGUCGGUGAUUGGGUUAUCUUAAACCUUUUUUUUUUUGGUUUAAGCUACUUAAAUUUUUUCUUUACUAUUCCAUGAACGUUUCUAAGUUUUUUUUUUCUUAUACGUUUAAGGUUUAUCGAACUUUUUUUAGACGUGACCGGCCCAUCGA
rnacentral:misc_RNA from 1 species